GUGGGGAAUUUUGGACAAUGGGCGCAAGCCUGAUCCAGCCAUGCCGCGUGCAGGAUGAAGGCCUUCGGGUUGUAAACUGCUUUUGUACGGAACGAAAAGACUCUGGUUAAUACCUGGGGUCCAUGACGGUACCGUAAGAAUAAGCACCGGCUAACUACGUGCCAGCAGCCGCGGUAAUACGUAGGGUGCGAGCGUUAAUCGGAAUUACUGGGCGUAAAGCGUGCGCAGGCGGUUAUGUAAGACAGAUGUGAAAUCCCCGGGCUCAACCUGGGAACUGCAGUUGUGACUGCAUAGCUAGAGUACGGCAGAGGGGGAUGGAAUUCCGCGUGUAGCAGUGAAAUGCGUAGAUAUGCGGAGGAACACCGAUGGCGAAGGCAAUCCCCUGGGCCUGUACUGACGCUCAUGCACGAAAGCGUGGGGAGCAAACAGGAUUAGAUACCCCGGUAGUCC
rnacentral:rRNA from 1 species